AUGGUUAGACAUCAGGCUUGCUGGGGUACCGUAUUGGUGGAGCAUCCGAUUUCCUAUUUGCGAAUUUGGGUUCGAUCCCAGUGUAGUCGAGUACAAGCCUCUUUGCGGUAUAAAAAUUACAGCACGAGUUGCUGCUUUAGCAGCUUAAAUGGGCGAACCUGCGGUCAUUCCCGAGGGUGAGGUAAUAAAUAAAUUUGGCUGCGGUGACAAAGUGGGAAUAUCCCUCAAUUGGGACACACAUCAUUCAGAGUGCAGCCCAAGCGAAAGAGCUGCCUUCUGACUUCGUAACAAAGAAAACAAGAUGGGUUAUACAUGUAAUCUCCUAAAAUCGUCAAUGGAGCUUUCUUUCCCACCACGUCAUUGUGUUGAAAAUCGUAUAACGAACUUUUCCAAUCGUCACAAAGCCACUUAACAAAUUUAGUCAUUGAAGAUACUGGAAUUUAGGAGCGUGUUAGCCAUUUAAGCAUGCCAAGUUUUCAUUUGCUUCACUAUUGAACAUAAUGUAUUUGCGCCGUUUACUACGGAAUCACAAAACGAAUGGCGGUGGAUGGAACUAUUGCGAAAGGAAUUACGGCCCCGAGGGAAUCAUGGCCAGGCCAGAAUAGUGGGCUCGUUGCAAUACCAAAGGACUCGUAACGCACAAUUUGGCAAUUGAGAGACACAACAGAACGCUGAAAAACGAUAGACGUCAAAGGACGCACCGGAUUGACCAGCUUUGUCAAGACAUAAUUAAUUUCGGCGAGUUCAUGAAGAGAAGACGGCUGCUGAUUUCUCAUGGCAUCUUGGGAGGUUUGAAGCCCUCCACUGCACAAAAACGACACCUCUCACUCCACCCGGAUAAAAUAGAAAUGCACCUCCUAAUCCAGAUUGCCGAGGGAAUCGUGGUUAAGAAAUUGUGCGAAAACGAUGUGCUGGAGCAAUAUCUGCUGAUUGCCAACGAUUUUCCUUGUAAUCGAGUUUUGUGCCAGAUUCGAUGCUCCAAGUGCCCUCCAUCUAACAUUUGUGGCCACACCUUCAUUUGCAAUUGUCCAAACUAUGCUUGGGCAGGAAACUGCAAGCACCUCCAUCUUAUAUUUAUGGACUUAGUUUGCCCUAGCCCGCAUCCCGACCACGAUUACUGCGGAACCACAAAUACACUUGACCCGUACGACGUCAACAAAGAGCAAUCGGCGUUCUUUCUAAAACUUGAGACUGUUUGGUCGAAAGUUCGUUUGUGACUCUCAGACCCCAACUACCCUCUUGGUGUGAGAGAGGCCAAGUAGAAGACAAUUUUAACCCUGGUUGAAAAUGAAGAUAAGAUUCCUCCCACAAUUUUUCCAAAACUUGACGGCAAAAGGAAAAAGGGAACACGUGCCUUCUCUGUUCCCGAAGAAGCGGAAAAAGGAGAUACUCCAAUGCAAGCCGGUAUCAAUCCGAAGAGAGUUGUUGGAGCAAUAUGUCAAGGCUCCAGUAAAAGAAGUGUGUUGGAUGUACUUGCUGAAAAUGGGAAUAUGUAUGAUACCAAG